CCAGGAGCAACCUGAAAAGCAACUGCAAAAACUCCAACAAAUUUUCAACUAUUGAUUAGCAAACAGUUUUUUAGUUCAUCUUAUCCGAUGAGAAUAUAUAAAGACCUUGCAGCUCACCAAAUGUCUACUUAAACUCUUGUAGGAAUCCAAACUGCAGCACAGCCUGUUGAAGAGAGAAAUCUUGAGAUUCUGCAGAAAGUCUGCUUUAUUAUACUCCCUAAGUGAAAACCUCUGAAAGUCUGUGAAAGCCAGAAGGCAGUGCUGUGAUACCCAUGGAGACCUUACUUAUGUUGGCAAAUGGAGAGGACCAGAACACUUGUUCACUCUGUACCUCUACUCAUUUCGUUAAUUAUGUGAAUGAGGUCUGAAAAAUAAUUUCCUGCAUCUCCAUGGUAUUGUUGUUCUGAAUGGAUCUCUCACUUUCAAUGUGGCUUGUCCUGGACACUGUGAACCAAAUAUAUGAAUAUUGUCAAAACAAUAUUGUCUAUCUAUCUAUCUGUCUAUCUUACUGAAAGAGUUUAAGAACCUUUGUUGUCUAUUAUGUUUUGAGCUCUAUCUUUUAGCCUUCAAAACUAUACUGACUAUUUAAACAGAUGUAUGUGAUCAGUGUAAUUAUUUCCUAGCAAUACAUUACAAUACAUAUUCAUAGUUACAUGGAUUUCAUAU